UGAGAAACAACGCUUUGCGAGACCGUUCUCUCUCCUCCCGGUAAACUUUCCAUUUUGGUCGUUAUACGACAGUCUUAUCAUAUUAUUGGUUUAAUAGACGUAUCGCUUUAAGCAUGCAAUCUAUCUGUAGGUUUUGGGAGAUAUGUCUAAGACCGUUUCGCUCUAGCGCCAGUGCUGGACCCGUGCCACUGCCGUAGUACCUCGAAACCCAACUCAUUCCGAGCAGGUUAGGCGGCUGCGUCUCGGACAGUGUGACACAUUACUUACUGGUGGUGGCGAAGGAGAGGGGUGUGCUUUAUCCGGACAGCGGUUCAAUUUCCUUCUCUCUUUAUUCUACGCUUGAGACAGGACAGAGAAAGGAAAAUGCAUCUGGCGCUCUGAGAACGAUAGGAAGAAAGUGGAGUUAUGAACCAACGGUGUACAAGGACAUAACUACAGAGAAACAGAACGUCUGUCAGAAGAGCACAAGAAGGAAUAGCGUUUGAAGAAAGAACAAAACGUUUAAAACUACAUCGAUUGAGAGAAAUGAGCACCUUGUGAGUCAUUGACCAGGUCCUGCCGUGUAGUUCUGGGCUGAUCCCUCACCUUCCUCAUGAUCAUUGAUGCCCCACGAGGUGAGAUCUUGCAUGGAGCCCCAGACCGAAGGAGAUUGACCGUCAUCUUGAACUUCUUCCAUUUUCUAAUAAUUGCACCAACAGUUGUUGCCUUCUCACCAAGCUGCUUGCCUAUUGUCCAUUAGCCCAUCCCAGCCUUGUGCAGGUCUACAAUUUUAUCCCUGAUGUCCUUACACAGCUCUCUGGUCUUGGCCAUUGUGGAAAGGUUGGAGUCUUUUUGAUUGAGUGUGUGGACAGGUGUCUUUAUAAAGGUAACGAGUUCAAACAGGUGCAGUUAUUACAGGUAAUGAGUGGAUAACAGGAGGGCUUCUUAAAGAUAAACUAACAGGUCUGUGAGAGCCAGAAUUCUUGCUGGUAGAUGAUCAAAUACUUAAGUCAUGCAAUAAAAUGCAAACAAAUUAUUUAAAAAUCAUACAAUGUGAUUUUCUGGAUUAUUGUUUUAGAUUCUCACAGUUGAAGUUUACCUAUGAUAAAAAUGACAGACCUCUACAUGCUUUGUAAGUAGGAAAACCUGCAAAACCGGCAGUGUAUCAAGUACUUGUUCUCCC
ensembl:lncRNA